GGCUGGAGGCCGCAUGCUCCUCGCCCCCCGCCUUCCCUGAGCCGCGCCCUGGUGUUUCGCUGCCGGCUCUCUGCCGCCAUGGGCUCGGAGAUGGAGCCGCUGCUCCUGGCCUGGAGCUAUUUUAGGCGCAGGAAGUUCCAGCUCUGCGCCGAUCUGUGCACGCAGAUGCUGGAGAAGUCCCCUUAUGACCAGGCAGCCUGGAUUUUAAAAGCACGAGCACUAACUGAAAUGGUGUACGUAGAUGAAAUUGACAUAGAUCAGGAAGGAAUUGCAGAAAUGAUACUGGAUGAAAAUGCUAUUGCUCAGGUUCCACGUCCUGGAACAUCUCUGAAACUCCCUGGAACUAAUCAGACAGGAGGGCCUAGUCCAGCUGUCAGGCCGAUCACUCAAGCUGGAAGACCCAUUACAGGUUUCCUUAGACCCAGCACACAAAGUGGAAGGCCAGGCACUAUGGAACAGGCCAUCAGAACACCCAGAACUGCCUACACAGCUCGCCCUAUCACCAGCUCAUCUGGAAGAUUUGUCAGGCUGGGAACGGCUUCCAUGCUUACAAGUCCUGAUGGACCUUUUAUAAAUUUAUCUAGACUGAAUUUAACAAAAUAUGCCCAGAAACCUAAACUGGCAAAGGCUUUGUUUGAGUAUAUCUUUCAUCAUGAAAAUGAUGUUAAGACUGCUUUGGAUUUGGCUGCCCUUUCCACAGAGCAUUCUCAGUACAAGGACUGGUGGUGGAAAGUGCAGAUUGGAAAAUGUUACUACAGGUUAGGAAUGUAUCGUGAAGCAGAGAAACAAUUUAAAUCAGCCCUGAAGCAGCAGGAAAUGGUAGAUACAUUUCUCUACUUGGCAAAAGUUUACAUCUCAUUGGAUCAACCUGUGACUGCUUUAAAUCUUUUCAAACAAGGCUUAGAUAAGUUUCCAGGAGAAGUAGCCCUACUUUGUGGAAUUGCCAGGAUCUAUGAGGAAAUGAACAAUAUUUCAUCAGCCACUGAAUACUACAAAGAGGUUUUAAAACAGGACAAUACUCAUGUGGAAGCCAUUGCAUGCAUUGGAAGCAACCAUUUUUACUCUGAUCAACCAGAAGUAGCUCUCCGGUUUUACAGGCGACUCCUGCAGAUGGGUGUUUAUAACUGCCAGCUUUUUAACAACCUGGGGCUCUGUUGCUUCUAUGCCCAGCAGUAUGAUAUGACUCUGACCUCAUUUGAACGUGCCCUUUCUCUGGCUGAAAAUGAAGAAGAGGUAGCUGACGUCUGGUACAACUUGGGACAUGUAGCUGUGGGAAUAGGAGAUACGAAUCUGGCCCAUCAGUGCUUCAGGCUGGCUCUGGUCAACAACAAUAGCCACGCAGAGGCCUACAACAACCUGGCCGUGCUGGAGAUGCGGAAGGGCCAUGUCGAACAGAUGAAGAAACAGACUAGAGGAGGGCAAGAGCACUGUUACAAACUGCUUCAUCUUUAGCACCCCACAUGUAUGAGCCGCAUUUUAAUUUUGCAACCGUUUCUGAUAAGAUGGGAGAUCUACAGAAGAGCUACAUUGCUGCUCAAAAGUCUGAAGCAGCAUUUCCAGAUCAUGUGGACACUCAACACUUAAUUAAGCAGUUAAAGCAGCAUUUUGCUAUGCUCUGAUUUUUCCUCAGACUAAAGAUAUUCUUAGGGAGGAAUAUUAUGCAAGGGAAAAAGUAGUGUAUAUAUAUGUGUAGUACAAACCUGUGCUUGAUAUUAGUGAAGGUGACACAAGGGAAUUUAAACCAGAAUGUUUAAAACUUUAUAAUAAUAACUUUAUAAGAUAAUGUUAUAAAAGACAGGAUUUAAGCAUUUGUAAGCAGAUUAUGAAACCUCCCACAUUAUAUGGUAGAUGUUUGUUUAUAAUGUUUACAAAACAUUUUCAUGAAUUUCCUCAAAUUUUUAUAAAUGCACAUUUUUAAUGUCCUGGCCAUUAGCUAUCAUGUAGCUUAAGAGGUCUGAAAUCUGCCUUUAAAAUUGCACUUUUAUGACUAAAAAAAGUACUUAUCCUUGGUAGAGACUUUAGAGAUUAAAAAUUGUACUUAAAGCUAUUUUUUAUCAAAUGCUUUGUGAGACACUCUACUUUUUCUUAUGUAUUAUGCUUUAAAAUAAAUGUGUAUAAA